rnacentral:rRNA from 1 species
UACGUAGGGGGCAAGCGUUGUCCGGAUUUAUUGGGCGUAAAGAGCGUGUAGGCGGCUAUGCAGGUCCGCUGUGAAAACUCGAGGCUCAACCUCGAGACGUCGGUGGAAACCGCAUGGCUAGAGUCCGGAAGAGGAGAGUGGAAUUCCCGGUGUAGCGGUGAAAUGCGCAGAUAUCGGGAAGAACACCCGUGGCGAAGGCGGCUCUCUGGGACGGUACUGACGCUGAGACGGCGAAAGCGUGGGGAGCGAACAGG